UUCAUGACUGGGGGUGAAGUCGUAACAAGGUAGCCGUAGGGGAACCUGCGGUUGGAUCACCUCCUUACCUGAAAGAA
rnacentral:rRNA from 1 species